UUGAACGCUGGCGGCAGGCCUAACACAUGCAAGUCGAGCGGUAACAGAAAGUAGCUUGCUACUUUGCUGACGAGCGGCGGACGGGUGAGUAAUGCUUGGGAACAUGCCUUGAGGUGGGGGACAACAGUUGGAAACGACUGCUAAUACCGCAUAAUGUCUACGGACCAAAGGGGGCUUCGGCUCUCGCCUUUAGAUUGGCCCAAGUGGGAUUAGCUAGUUGGUGAGGUAAUGGCUCACCAAGGCGACGAUCCCUAGCUGGUUUGAGAGGAUGAUCAGCCACACUGGGACUGAGACACGGCCCAGACUCCUACGGGAGGCAGCAGUGGGGAAUAUUGCACAAUGGGCGCAAGCCUGAUGCAGCCAUGCCGCGUGUGUGAAGAAGGCCUUCGGGUUGUAAAGCACCUUCAGUCAGGAGGAAAGGUUAGUAGUUAAUACCUGCUAGCUGUGACGUUACUGACAGAAGAAGCACCGGCUAACUCCGU
rnacentral:rRNA from 1 species